UUAUAUUGUUACUCAUGCAAUUGCUAUUAUAUUUCUUAAUAGCAUUAUGGUAUAUAGGAUAUUUUCAAAUUAACAGCGUAACAAAUCAUCAUUGAUUCCUCUAUUAACAAAAAUGGAUUCAUGUGUCAUAACUUUAUUCAAGAACUUAAUCAAUAUGUUGUGUGGGUAAAUUUCCUAUUGAAAGAUUUUGUGAAUAGAUCACUUUGAUGUUUGACCUUUUCUUUCUUCUCUGCUAGGAAAAAAAUAAAGGUUCUCUUAAUUGGAAGCAACGAUACGAUAUAAUUUUAGGAACAGCAAGAGGUUUGGUUUAUUUACAUGAAGAAUUUCAUGUUCGUAUCAUACAUAGAGACAUAAAGACUAACAACAUCCUCUUGGAUGAUGAUUUACAACCUAAAAUUGCUGAUUUUGGCUUAGCAAGACUCUUACCUGAGGACAAGACUCAUCUUAACACAAGAUUUGCGGGAACAUUAGGAUAUACAGCUCCAGAAUAUGCAAUUCAUGGACAACUAUCAGAAAAGGUUGAUGUAUAUAGCUAUGGUGUUAUAAUUUUAGAAAUUAUUAGUGGUCAAAGAAACAAUGAAUUGAAUGCCAAUGGUGCUGCUGAAGGCGAAUUCCUCCUUCAAAAAGCUUGGAACUUAUACAAGAGAGGCAUACAUUUAGAACUGGUGGACGAGACCUUGGACGCUAAUGAUUAUGAUGCAGAAGAAGUGAAGAAAAUCAUAGAGAUUGGUUUACUUUGCACACAAGCAUCUGUAGAUAUAAGGCCAAAGAUGUCUGAAGUAGUUGCAUUGCUCCAACAAAAGGGUUUAUCAGAGGAUAUGAGACCCACUAUGCCUAUUUUGAUUGAAAUUGGUUAAAGGUGCAUGGAAACUAAGACACUUAGCUUUUAACCUCUGGUACCUUCUCUACAUAUGAAGGUGUGGCUUCAAGUUUUGAACUCAAAAAAGGAAGGGAAAAAAAAAAAAAAAAAAGAAGGAGAAGUCUCGAAAUGAUUGUCCUUAAUUCAUUCCAUUCUUGUGCGUAACUAUAUGUCAAACUUACAUAAGUGUAUGUGUAUUGAUAAUUGCAUUUAAAUUUUGAUAUGCAUACGUGUAUACUCA